rnacentral:rRNA from 2 species
UCCGUAGGUGAACCUGCGGAAGGAUCAUUACCGAGUGCGGGCCCUCUGGGUCCAACCUCCCAUCCGUGUCUAUCUGUACCCUGUUGCUUCGGCGUGGCCACGGCCCGCCGGAGACUAACAUUUGAACGCUGUCUGAAGUUUGCAGUCUGAGUUUUUAGUUAAACAAUCGUUAAAACUUUCAACAACGGAUCUCUUGGUUCCGGCAUCGAUGAAGAACGCAGCGAAAUGCGAUAAUUAAUGUGAAUUGCAGAAUUCAGUGAAUCAUCGAGUCUUUGAACGCACAUUGCGCCCCCUGGUAUUCCGGGGGGCAUGCCUGUCCGAGCGUCAUUGCUGCCCUCAAGCACGGCUUGUGUGUUGGGCUUCCGUCCCUGGCAACGGGGACGGGCCCAAAAGGCAGUGGCGGCACCAUGUCUGGUCCUCGAGCGUAUGGGGCUUUGUCACCCGCUCCCGUAGGUCCAGCUGGCAGCUAGCCUCGCAACCAAUCUUUUUAACCAGGUUGACCUCGGAUCAGGUAGGGAUACCCGCUGAACUUAAGCAUAUCAAUAAGCGGAGGA